rnacentral:lncRNA from 1 species
UCGUACCCCACAUUAAAGGCCUCUUAACAAAACAUGACCUUGGCAUCAUGAAAUUCCUCUAACACCUUAAAGCUCUCAACUGCUGAGCCUUCUCCCAUGCAAAAUCUGUCGAAGCCUUGAAAGCCUCCAUUGUCAUUUGACAGGCCUCAGCAAUUCGCCCCUCGGCCUCCUGCUUGGCGUGAGCAACUUGGUCCUCAGCCAUUUUUUCAAUCUAUGUGAUUUUGGCAAUGGCCUCCUGUAGCUCCUCCUCCUUCUGAACAAAAUCAGUGUUGGCUUUAUUCAGCACCUCUCUCAAGUGCUCAACCUCUCGCCUGACCACCUCGGUUUGUGCAUGCACCUCCACAGCAGUAGACUCGACCUGUUAGCAUAGACCUUUAUCAUCUCUACUCUGUGUGCGUGGUUCAAAAGGACGAUAAAAAAAUGGAGCAUCUGUGCAAAGGCCAUGUCAAGGAAGUAGAAGAAGAGGAAAGGAGAUGAAGAGAAAAAAAGGAAUAAAAGAAUAUGAAAAAGAACAAGGGAAGCACCUAAAGCAUGAUAGUCACAGAAUAUUGUUGUAAGUCAUCAAAAUCGAUGCUAUUAAUCCCCUUCAAUUCCAUGGAAAGGAUUGUUCUCUCAAUCAGCUCUCUAACAACCUUCCAAUCAUCAAAAGUCACAUCCUCAGGGAUCGAAGGAAGGUGAGAAUCCGGAUCAACUUGAUCUUCUGGGGGACUUAAUCUGCUUGGGCCAGCUACCAGAGAAGGUCGAUCCCAAUCUCUACAUGGGGAUGCAGGAGGGGUCAGAGCAUGAGCCACAGAUGGUUGAGAUGCUUGCACCUAAGUAGUAGGGAUGGAGGCCACAAUUGACGGAGAUGGGCCUAGGGGGUAGGGGUCGCCACCACAAUGGUGGCGUCGACCGUUGGGCUCACUCAGUCAAAGCUUCUUUUUGGCCGACCAUGGUGACCUUUGGCUUUUGGGAGGUACCUUUUGAUGCUGAAGCUUUCCCUUUUUUUAGAAUAUCUUGGCAAGAUCCUCAGGCCUCAUCUCUACAAUUAUCGAAAUAUGGUCGGAGACAGAAAAGGAAAGAAAUAAGAAAGAAGGAUGACUACACUACUCACCCCUAGGGUCGGCUUGACUAAGCCUCGUAUUAUAGAGGAUUUCAUCGGACAACAACUCAUCGACGGAGGAAACUUUGAAAUCCCUGAGGAUCUUAAAAUGACUCUCUUUCUCGGCCCCUAAUUUUGAAAUUUGGAAUGUUGAAGCUCCUUGCUGAUCCUAGCUCAGUAAGUUCCAAUCAUCUAUCGAGGAGCUUGAAACAAAUAGAAACUACUCCUUCCAUCCAUGAACGGAGGAAGGAGCACCCUUUAUCAAAGGAGAGAUCCUCCUCUGAAAAAAGAUGUACCAUCAGUUUUUAGCAUAAGGAUGCUUCUUGAUGGUGAAGAAAGAAUGAAAAAGAGAGACAGAUGCAGAUGACCAAGAAACCUACUACAUAUCUGUUGGAAAAAAUUUCGCACAGGUCGAUGAUAUGAAGAACCCCAAGGCCCAAGAUGUCUAAGCUUGAUAAGCUUGCUUGCUAUGCCUCUGUCGGCCUAUCCUCAGCCAUAAUCUUCAUUGCUUUAUCACCAACUAGUCCUCAACUUUUGCCCCAUUGACGCUCCACAGUCUGAGUAGAUGAAGACUCACCGACUGACGCUCGAUAACCCUCAUCUGGGAUCAUCGAUAUUUUCUUGAUGGCUGAUUCUUAUAGGCUAGGUUGAAGAGUCAUCGAUGCACUCAAAUGAUUGGCUCAGUCAGACCAGAUAAUGAUAUUCAAUCGAUCACAUCUGGUCGACCGGCCUUCCACUACCAAAUGGGCCCCA